rnacentral:misc_RNA from 1 species
UCAAUGUAAAAUUAGGAAAUUUAAAGAGUUCUAGUUUUUAGGAAUUUUAUUAUUGUUAGGUCUAUUAUUUCCUAAUUACCUAGGCAUUAGGAGCCUCCUAAUAAGCAGUUAUUACCAAAAUUGAAAACCAUCAAGGAUUGCUAAAAUAAUAGUACAGCAAUGAGCAUAAAGUAUUAUAAGUAAUGCAAUUAACAUCUGAGACCGAGGUUAAAAUGCAGGAUUGUAACAAAGCUAAUGGGAAAUCAAUGAGGAAAGAAAAAAAGGAUUGUACAU